CGUAACACUCCCUUUGAGAAAUGGCAUAUUGAUUGGAAAUUUCCCCAAUUAACCCCAAGCCUGCGAUUUUUCUUGCCCAACAAUUCAAUUUGACGGCAUUUUCGCUCCUCUUCCUUCUUCGCGUCGGAGAAGACAGACCCAAGGAGAAAGCUCACUAAUUCCGGCAAGGGCGGCCAUUUUCAGUCGACGAGAAAUUUGCUGAAUUUCGAGCUUACCUCCUUCGAAAAAACGUGGUGCUUGGCUUUGAGAAAGAGUUUCAGCCGAUGAAUGGUGAAGAUGCAGCUGCUUGUGUUAAAAAAAGGGGUGAAACAUUCUAAUUAGAAUGAAUUAUGUAUUGGAGGAUAUAAUUGUAAACACAUAAAAACUUCAUGGAAAAAAUGUCUUUUUCGUA